rnacentral:rRNA from 1 species
AUUGAACGCUGGCGGCAGGCUUAACACAUGCAAGUCGAGCGGAGAUGAGGUGCUUGCACCUUAUCUUAGCGGCGGACGGGUGAGUAAUGCUUAGGAAUCUGCCUAUUAGUGGGGGACAACAUUCCGAAAGGAAUGCUAAUACCGCAUACGCCCUACGGGGGAAAGCAUGGGAUCUUCGGACCUUGCGCUAAUAGAUGAGCCUAAGUCGGAUUAGCUAGUUGGUGGGUAAAAGCCUACCAAGGCGACGAGCUGUAGCGGGUCUGAGAGGAUGAUCCGCCACACCGGGACUGACACACGGCCCAGACUCCUGCGGGCGGCAGCAGUGGGGAAUAUUGGACAAUGGGCGGAAGCCUGAUCCAGCCAUGCCGCGUGUGUGAAGAAGGCCUUUUGGUUGUAAAGCACUUUAAGCGAGGAGGAGGCUACCUGGAUUAAUACUCUAGGAUAGUGGACGUUACUCGCAGAAUAAGCACCGGCUAACUCUGUGCCAGCCGCCGCGGUAAAAC